UACGUAGGGGGCAAGCGUUGUCCGGAAUCAUUGGGCGUAAAGCGCGUGUAGGCGGCUCGGUAAGUCCGCUCUGAAAGUCCAGGGCUCAACCCUGGGAUGCGGGUGGAUACUGCCGAGCUCGAGUCCGGAAGAGGCGAGUGGAAUUCCUGGUGUAGCGGUGAAAUGCGCAGAUAUCAGGAGGAACACCGGUGGCGAAGGCGGCUAUCUGGACAGAGUCUGACGCUGAGGCGCGAAAGCUAGGGGAGCAAACAGG
rnacentral:rRNA from 1 species